UACGAAGGGGGCUAGCGUUGCUCGGAAUCACUGGGCGUAAAGGGUGCGUAGGCGGGUCUUUAAGUCAGGGGUGAAAUCCUGGAGCUCAACUCCAGAACUGCCUUUGAUACUGAAGAUCUUGAGUUCGGGAGAGGUGAGUGGAACUGCGAGUGUAGAGGUGAAAUUCGCAGAUAUUCGCAAGAACACCAGUGGCGAAGGCGGCUCACUGGCCCGAUACUGACGCUGAGGCCCGAAAGCGUGGGGAGCAAACAGG
rnacentral:rRNA from 1 species